rnacentral:rRNA from 1 species
GUUAAGCGACUAAGCGUACACGGUGGAUGCCCUGGCAGUCAGAGGCGAUGAAGGACGUGCUAAUCUGCGAUAAGCGUCGGUAAGGUGAUAUGAACCGUUAUAACCGGCGAUUUCCGAAUGGGGAAACCCAGUGUGUUUCGACACACUAUCAUUAACUGAAUCCAUAGGUUAAUGAGGCGAACCGGGGGAACUGAAACAUCUAAGUACCCCGAGGAAAAGAAAUCAACCGAGAUUCCCCCAGUAGCGGCGAGCGAACGGGGAGCAGCCCAGAGCCUGAAUCAGUGUGUGUGUUAGUGGAAGCGUCUGGAAAGGCGCGCGAUACAGGGUGACAGCCCCGUACACAAAAAUGCACAUGCUGUGAGCUCGAUGAGUAGGGCGGGACACGUGGUAUCCUGUCUGAAUAUGGGGGGACCAUCCUCCAAGGCUAAAUACUCCUGACUGACCGAUAGUGAACCAGUACCGUGAGGGAAAGGCGAAAAGAACCCCGGCGAGGGGAGUGAAAAAGAACCUGAAACCGUGUACGUACAAGCAGUGGGAGCACGCUUAGGCGUGUGACUGCGUACCUUUUGUAUAAUGGGUCAGCGACUUAUAUUCUGUAGCAAGGUUAACCGAAUAGGGGAGCCGAAGGGAAACCGAGUCUUAACUGGGCGUUAAGUUGCAGGGUAUAGACCCGAAACCCGGUGAUCUAGCCAUGGGCAGGUUGAAGGUUGGGUAACACUAACUGGAGGACCGAACCGACUAAUGUUGAAAAAUUAGCGGAUGACUUGUGGCUGGGGGUGAAAGGCCAAUCAAACCGGGAGAUAGCUGGUUCUCCCCGAAAGCUAUUUAGGUAGCGCCUCGUGAAUUCAUCUCCGGGGGUAGAGCACUGUUUCGGCAAGGGGGUCAUCCCGACUUACCAACCCGAUGCAAACUGCGAAUACCGGAGAAUGUUAUCACGGGAGACACACGGCGGGUGCUAACGUCCGUCGUGAAGAGGGAAACAACCCAGACCGCCAGCUAAGGUCCCAAAGUCAUGGUUAAGUGGGAAACGAUGUGGGAAGGCCCAGACAGCCAGGAUGUUGGCUUAGAAGCAGCCAUCAUUUAAAGAAAGCGUAAUAGCUCACUGGUCGAGUCGGCCUGCGCGGAAGAUGUAACGGGGCUAAACCAUGCACCGAAGCUGCGGCAGCGACGCUUAUGCGUUGUUGGGUAGGGGAGCGUUCUGUAAGCCUGUGAAGGUGUGCUGUGAGGCAUGCUGGAGGUAUCAGAAGUGCGAAUGCUGACAUAAGUAACGAUAAAGCGGGUGAAAAGCCCGCUCGCCGGAAGACCAAGGGUUCCUGUCCAACGUUAAUCGGGGCAGGGUGAGUCGACCCCUAAGGCGAGGCCGAAAGGCGUAGUCGAUGGGAAACAGGUUAAUAUUCCUGUACUUGGUGUUACUGCGAAGGGGGGACGGAGAAGGCUAUGUUGGCCGGGCGACGGUUGUCCCGGUUUAAGCGUGUAGGCUGGUUUUCCAGGCAAAUCCGGAAAAUCAAGGCUGAGGCGUGAUGACGAGGCACUACGGUGCUGAAGCAACAAAUGCCCUGCUUCCAGGAAAAGCCUCUAAGCAUCAGGUAACAUCAAAUCGUACCCCAAACCGACACAGGUGGUCAGGUAGAGAAUACCAAGGCGCUUGAGAGAACUCGGGUGAAGGAACUAGGCAAAAUGGUGCCGUAACUUCGGGAGAAGGCACGCUGAUAUGUAGGUGAAGUCCCUCGCGGAUGGAGCUGAAAUCAGUCGAAGAUACCAGCUGGCUGCAACUGUUUAUUAAAAACACAGCACUGUGCAAACACGAAAGUGGACGUAUACGGUGUGACGCCUGCCCGGUGCCGGAAGGUUAAUUGAUGGGGUUAGCGGUAACGCGAAGCUCUUGAUCGAAGCCCCGGUAAACGGCGGCCGUAACUAUAACGGUCCUAAGGUAGCGAAAUUCCUUGUCGGGUAAGUUCCGACCUGCACGAAUGGCGUAAUGAUGGCCAGGCUGUCUCCACCCGAGACUCAGUGAAAUUGAACUCGCUGUGAAGAUGCAGUGUACCCGCGGCAAGACGGAAAGACCCCGUGAACCUUUACUAUAGCUUGACACUGAACAUUGAGCCUUGAUGUGUAGGAUAGGUGGGAGGCUUUGAAGUGUGGACGCCAGUCUGCAUGGAGCCGACCUUGAAAUACCACCCUUUAAUGUUUGAUGUUCUAAC